rnacentral:rRNA from 1 species
GACGAACGCUGGCGGCAGGCCUAACACAUGCAAGUCGAGCGAGCGGCGGAAGGGUGAGAAAUGUCUGGGAAAAUGCCUGAUGGAGGGGGAUAACUACUGGAAAAGGUGGCUAAUACUGCAUACCAUCAGAUGUGACGAGAUGGGUUAAGCUGGUAGGUGGGGUAACGGCGCACCUAGGCGAGGACCCCUAGCUGGUCUGCGAGGAUGACCAGCCACACGGGAACUGGGAAACGGUCCAGACCCCUAGGGGAGGAGGCGGUGGGAAAUAUUGGACAAGGAGGGAAAGCCGGCUGAGGCCAUGCCGCGGGUGUGUAGAAGCCCUUGGGUUGUUAAAGCACUUUCAGCGGGGAGGCGUUACCCGAAGAAGAAGCACCGGCUAACUCCGUGCCAGCCGCCGCGGUAAUAC